rnacentral:lncRNA from 1 species
UUAAAAUAUAUUUUUUUAUUAUGUUUACAUUUUUUUUUUUAUUAUGCUCAUAUUUUUUUCAUUUUCUAUAGAAGUUAGACAUUUCAAUUUUAGAGCUAAAACAAAAAACCAUAACAAAAUUUUAUCAUUUUAUGUUUUGGGUAUUAAUUUGCCAAGCAUAUGUUUUAGUACCCUUCUCUUAUUUUUAUAUACAAAAUAAAAGUUUAUAUAAAAACGAAUUUGAUGACAAUAUUAGUGUUUGUGAAAAUGUGAUUGAGUCUUUUGGAAAAAUGAUAUAUUUUAUUAUUUUCUUAGUUGUUCUAUCAAUAAUCGGUUUAAUAUAUAGACCUUAUCAGAAAAUUGCAAUGACAAAAGGAAAGGAGCUUGAAUAUAUUGUAGAUUUAUUGGAUAUUAAACAUGCUGGUGAAUCUGCUAUUUUAUUUUUGAUGGGAUGUGUGAUGUUAAUAGGUGUAUCAUUUUGGGUUACAUAUACGAGUCAUGGACUAGCUUGUUUACCCUUAGCUUUUUUGCAUCACGAAAAUCUUGAACAGUGUAAAAAAGAAAUAGAAGAUCGUUUUAAUAGGCUUAAGGAAAAAGAAAUGUUGAUAAAGAGUAAAUAUACACCACAGAAUGAAAUAAAACAAAAUGAUAAAAAUGAAAUUGUCAAAAUUGAAAAAAUGAAAAAAAUACUAAGUAAAUACAAUUAUAAAUUGCAAGAAAAGGAAAAAAUAUACGAAUCCUGGUUAUCUUAUGUGUUGGGACUUGUGUUUACAUUUAGGUAAAAUAUAUAUAUAUGUAUAUAUACAUAUCUAUAUUUAUGUGUGCAUAUGUACAUAUAUAUAUAAACAUACAAUACAUACGAUAAACUAAAAUAUACCAAUUUUUUUAUUAUGCUUUAAGAAUUAUAAUAGGUAUAAUAUUUCUCACUUUUUCAUUUACCAUAUACAUAUCUUUGUUAUCCUCAAUAGUGGAUAAAGUAAGAAAGAGCAUAUGAAAAAAAUGAACAAAAAAAAUGAACAAAAAAAAUG